rnacentral:lncRNA from 1 species
CUUUCCGCCCAAUCACUCUCCCCUCAAACCAUUUUACUUUCCUUCCAAAAAUUUUACUUCCCCAAAACCCCCAAAAUUGUCUUCUUCUUUCUUUCCCCGAAAAACUUUUUCCUUUUAUUUUCUCCCCAAAAUUUUUCCUUCCCCAAACCCUCAAGUUUUUUUCUUUUGCUUUCUCUCAAAGCUUUUACUUCCUCUCAAACCCC